rnacentral:rRNA from 1 species
UACGGAGGGGGCUAGCGUUGUUCGGAAUUACUGGGCGUAAAGCGCACGUAGGCGGCUUUGUAAGUUAGAGGUGAAAGCCCAGGGCUCAACCCUGGAAUUGCCUUUAAGACUGCAUCGCUAGAAUUGUGGAGAGGUAAGUGGAAUUCCGAGUGUAGAGGUGAAAUUCGUAGAUAUUCGGAAGAACACCAGUGGCGAAGGCGACUUACUGGACACAUAUUGACGCUGAGGUGCGAAAGCGUGGGGAGCGAACAGG